rnacentral:lncRNA from 1 species
GACCAUACACACCCAUUACCAAUGAGCAAUAGAUUCCGGUAACCCCCUCCUGUCUACCAGAGUCCUCUCCCUGUAACCCAGAAUGUUUGCACGUCCCACCCGCGCUUUGCCCAGCUCCUCACUGUCCUUGGACUUCCCUGGAGAACGUAGAGCUGAUGUGCACUGUUGGCUCCUGUUGUGCUGCACAGGCCUCCGUACAAACGGAACUCAAGGUGGGUGUUCGCAACUGACACGGUGUAGAAAUGCUUUUUAAUGAGCAUACACCACUCAUCUCUGCUAGUGGAUCACCUCUGAACGCUGUCUGCGCUGGGCUGAGGAUGCUCAUUACUGAAGUUCAAGGUUCUUACUGAUGUCACUGGAAAAUUUGUCUCUGCUCUGAGAAAUCACAGGGGUUAGUCUUUGUGACUCGUGAGGUGACUACACUAACACCUGGUGUUGAUAAGAUGGCAUGAAAACAGCCAGCUCUGGAAGUCGUGCGGAGUGAUGGCUCAGAAGUGAAUAGUGCUUGCUGCUCUUUCCAAGGACCCGAGAUGGGUUACCAGCACCCAUGUUCUCCAGAUCACAGUCUUCGCUAACUCCAGCUCCAGGGCUUCUAACCCCCUCUUCUGGCCUCCAUGGUACCUUUACUCAUGUGCCUGACAUCCUCCCACACAUACUUAAUGAAAAAUUAGAAUUAAAUCUUUAAUAAUAAUAAUAAAGAGUCCCGGAAGAGUUUCACAUUCUUUUCAGUGCUACUUAUUAUAUUCUGAAG